CCGACGCGGAUCUUGAAGGGACUGCCGGGGAUGUGGGCACCGUUGAACUUGACAUCGAUGGAGUGGACGCCGUUCUCAUGAGGGAUGAAGCGGAUGGUGUGCUUGUCUGGGGGCAGAGGUUGCGGCCUGGUCCCUGCUGCUGCCAGGCCCAGCUCAGGAAGGUCCUCAACAAGACCGCUAAGAGAUGAGGCCACCUGGCUGCGCUGGACAUGGUGGAGAUGAGAUGAUGUGCCCUGUCCUGGCUGAAGAGGUGAGACCCAGACACCAUACGUAAAGCCAGCCCGAUGGCAGAGAAGCCAGUGCUAGGACAGUGCUGUGUGGCCUGCGAGCACCCAGCUCCGACCAACAGCCUCCCCCUCCCCGUCCCAAGGGACAGAACACCCGACCUCCCUGUGAGGACCCCGGCCGGGCCCUGCUCACCCUCUUGCUGCCGAGUGAUGCUGCCGAAAGAGCCCAGACGUUCCCGGCCCAGGAAGUCCCCGAAGACGGCGGGGAAGGGGUCUCCGCCAACCUGAGUGGACUCCUCCACCCGCACCUCGCGCUUGGUCUCCC